CGCAGCUCCACGGCAGAGCGAGCGAACACCUCCAGCCAGCGCCGGCUUUUGGUACGGGCACACAGAAAUCCAGCCCAGGAAUUCUGCAGCAUUUCAAGUGUGAUGCCAUCCUGGAUCCUGGAGCUGGGAAGUUUGCCCAUUUCUUUGCAGACCCUGCAGAGCACAAGAAGCAGCAGGACUGCAGCAUCAACAACCAGCAAUUGAGAGAAGAG